GUGAAGAAGACCUGUUUGACUACCAAGACAGCCACGAUCUCAUCACACUGGGCUGGAUACAUACACAUCCUUCACAGACAGCGUUCAUGUCCAGUGUUGACCUACACACACACUGCUCGUACCAGCUAAUGAUGCCAGAGGCCAUUGCUAUUGUGUGCUCUCCUAAAUUCAAUGAAACUGGUGUGUUUUCACUUACCCAAGAAUAUGGAAUGAAGUUCAUAUCGUCCUGUAGAAAGCCCGGGUUUCAUCCUCAUCCGAAAGAGCCUCCCAUCUAUAAGGUAUAG